CACACACUGUGGGAUGCCCUGCUGAAGUAGGGCAGACAAGCAGGAUCUUCUAGUCUCUUGUAGCCAAGGCCUCUCUCCUGAAGUUUAUGCCCAGGUCUGUGAUACACCUGCUGGAUGUUCAUACUUGUCCAUGGGACGCGUAUGCAGCUUGGCCUCUGGGUUGAUCUGACUGAAUGGUCAGACGACAAGUAUUUACAAAGGUCCUGAGCCUGCCUAUGUCAAGAGAUGAUUCUCCUUGCCUGGCUAGUAACUAACACUUAAUAAACAUUACAAUAUGGCAGUCACUAUGCUAACACUUUCACCUACUCA
rnacentral:lncRNA from 1 species